GUUUGUCUGAAUGGUAGUGAGCAUCUCGACCGAGGUGAAUAUAUUUGUCCUUAGGCCUGUCAGAUAAAAAAUAUUAAAUAUUAAUACAAAAUUAUUGUGAUUUGUGUUCACUAUAAUUGAGUCUUCGAUUCUACUUCCGAUAAUAAGAACAACAUCGAGGACGCUGUCUGUUCCAACCCAAGCGAACCCGAGCGUUCCUGGUCGCAGUUCUAAUAAGGACUAAAGAUAUUUGUGCCUGAACGUCACUGGAAGGAGGAGACGAGAUGGAUUUCUUUGAAGGAUAUGACCCCUCUACUGUGUUCGCAGGACUCUAUCUAUUUAUUUGGUUUUGUGGUUGCUUUGGCAAUGAUAACAUGUUUUGGAACAUUCUCAUGUUCUUUUCGGUUGUGUGUACUCUACUAUGCUUGUACCGCAUUACUAAUAAUGAGUUAUAAAGCCAUGGAGUGUAAUUUGUAGCUGUCGUAGUAAAGAUUAUGAUGAAAAAUAUGUAUUUCUUUGUAUAUUUUCUUUGGAAUAAUGAUUCUAGUAGAUGAAAAGUUGGAAUUAUCGGUCAAGACGUUAAAUUGAACUGAGAAAAAAUAGUUUGCAAACUAUAUGAAAGUUCUAUUUUUCGAUGUUUCGGGAUAGGUAAAUAGCAAGACAGAUGAAAUAUGUCACAGACCUGGUAUGGGAGUACUUCAAGAAGGCUUUCAGGCCAAAAAAAACUAAGUGCACUAAAUUGUUCUUUGGUCGCUUUCAAGAGAAAUGAUGUAAGAAAUGUUACCCAUGGCCACAUAGACCAUCCUCAUUCCAUUAAAUAUCGUAAUUAUUCCAUUAUUAUGGUUUUUUCGUAAAUACAUUAAUGAACAAAUUCGAAAUACAAGGAGGUUUUUAAAUCUAAGUUUAAAGGCUAACUAUUUUCUAUAAUAAAAGUAAGAUAACAUAACUUAUAAAUUACUAAAUUUUUGACAAAACAUAUUCAAAUUAUAAAUAUACUAUGAUAUAUGAAUACUAUUUAAAUACAUGUUUUUCUUCAUAAGAUGAAUAGUGUAGUUUGUAGAAAGUACCCUGAGGUUGCUAUAAUAUUUGAAAACAGUUUGAAAUUGACAAUAAAACAUUAACCUGUUAAAUUCAGUUUCAGAAUAAUUGGAACUUUUAUAGAUUUCGCGUGAACUAAACUAGUUAACAAACUAACUUUUUCGUGAGCACACAUCCCAUUCUUUUGGCCAAAAUAAAAUAUUUGUUGAACAUUCGUUUUCAAAUGGGUAAACUUUUGGUGCAUAGGGCAACUUUGUUAACUAAUAUUUCAUAUUUUUCGAGUGAGUUUUCGAGAAUAUUAUUGCGACCACAGGGAUAACAAAAAAAAUGUUUGCUAGGAUAUUUUCAUAUGGUUUUUCUUUACACAGAUUUCUAGAAUGCUGAUCAAUAAUUCAAUACAAACUAAAUCUCAAGGGAAAUGUUUCCUCACAAACAAGAUUAAUUUCAUCAGCCUUCCAGAGAGUCUGUUUUAAGUGUGACUUUUCAGCAAAUUAUCUAAUUUUAUGUACUAAAAAUAGGCACAUUCUCCCAAUCCAAUGCUUACUAUAAUUUAUGUAUAACAACACUUAGUACUAACAUACAGUUGAUAAUAUUAAAUCUACAGUCGCAGUGUCAAUACUUACUAAAUAAUGAAUUUACAUAAAUACAACAAUGAUAGAUUAAAAUUAAUAUAACCAGCACCAUUCCUGAUAUGUAUAUCUUUCAAUUGAUUUUGGAUUGUGAACUCUUUUGGCAACAAUGUUAAUUCAUAUUAACGUCUAUUAUAUGACAACUUCAAAAAUGUAUUAAAUAGCAUAGCAAUUAAUUUAAAAAAAUUGAGAGUUUUGAUUUUGUGAAAUUACUACUUUAGAGCAAGUUUAAGGAGGAAGUUCAAGAAAAAGUUUAUGUCAGCACUGCAAUUGAGAAGUUCGCUGUCGGAAGAAUCGCAAUGCAAGUGUGCUUUAGCUCUUACUAUUAUACUGGAUUGGGAAAUACUUUACUGUUAUAUCUCUUUAUAAUAUAUUAUUGUAUCAAUUAGGGGCUUGAACCCUACUUAACUUCAAGUACUAUACUUUUGGCAAUUGUAUAACUUUUUCUGCAAUAAAUAUUCUUAGCAAGCA